rnacentral:rRNA from 1 species
AUUGAACGCUGGCGGCAUGCCUUACACAUGCAAGUCGAACGGUAACAGGUCUUCGGAUGCUGACGAGUGGCGAACGGGUGAGUAAUACAUCGGAACGUGCCUAGUAGUGGGGGAUAACUACUCGAAAGAGUGGCUAAUACCGCAUGAGAUCUACGGAUGAAAGCAGGGGAUCGCAAGACCUUGUGCUACUAGAGCGGCCGAUGGCAGAUGAGGUAGUUGGUGGGAUAAAAGCUUACCAAGCCGACGAUCUGUAGCUGGUCUGAGCGGACGAUCAGCCACACUGGGACUGAGACACGGCCCAGACUCCUACGGGAGGCAGCAGUGGGGAAUUUUGGACAAUGGGCGCAAGCCUGAUCCAGCAAUGCCGCGUGCAGGAUGAAGGCCUUCGGGUUGUAAACUGCUUUUGUACGGAACGAAAAGCCCUGGGUUAAUACCCUGGGGUCAUGACGGUACCGUAAGAAUAAGCACCGGCUAACUACGUGCCAGCCGCCGCCGUAAAAC